AAGGUUGUUCCAACAAGUCCGAUACAGCCAUGAUAUAACAAUAUUGUUACAACUUUGCGUCGUCAACCUUGUAACAUUCUUGUUAUAUCAUGACUGUAUCAGACUUGUUAGAACAAUUUU
rnacentral:miRNA from 1 species